UAUGAAUCAACUAGUGACCUAAUCAAAAUAUAAUCUACCAUGUUGGCCUGGUAAGUGAGAUCAACGAAAAAGAUCUAUCCUUAACUCACCGUAGACACAUCUAGGUGAAUAGCUCUCAAUUAAAAAUCACUUGAUCGAAUCUGUCAAACUAACCUUAGACACUAACUGGUUAAUUACUUUUGAUUUGGCACACCAGAAGAUUCAGACUCAACCACGGAGUCAUGAUCAUGGUCCAUUUAUUAGGAUCAAACACAUGG
rnacentral:lncRNA from 1 species